CCAUGCAAGUCGAACGGGGUCCUUCGGGACUUAGUGGCGGACGGGUGAGUAANGCGNUGAGGAUCUGGCUUCAGGAUGGGGAUAACAUUGGGAAACUGAUGCUAAUACCCGAUAUGGCGAGAGCUGAAAGAUUAAUCGCCUGAAGAUGAACUCGCGUCCGAUUAGCUAGUUGGAGUGGUAAUGGCACCCCAAGGCGAUGAUCGGUAGCUGGUCUGAGAGGAUGAUCAGCCACACUGGGACUGAGACACGGCCCAGACUCCUACGGGAGGCAGCAGUGGGGAAUUUUCCGCAAUGGGCGCAAGCCUGACGGAGCAAUACCGCGUGCGGGAGGACGGCCUUUGGGUUGUAAACCGCUUUUCUCAGGGAAGAAGACCUGACGGUACCUGAGGAAUCAGCAUCGGCUAACUCCGUGCCAGCAGCCGCGGUAAUACGGAGGAUGCAAGCGUUAUCCGGAAUUAUUGGGCGUAAAGCGUCCGCAGGUGGUUUAUCAAGUCUGCUGUCAAAGCGUGGAGCUUAACUCCAUACGGGCGGUGGAAACUGAUGAACUAGAGGAUGGUAGGGGUCACGGGAAUUCCCAGUGUAGCGGUGAAAUGCGUAGAUAUUGGGAAGAACACCAGCGGCGAAAGCGCGUGACUGGGCCAUUACUGACACUCAUGGACGAAAGCUAGGGGAGCGAAAGGGAUUAGAUACCCCUGUAGUCCUAGCUGUAAACGAUGGACACUAGGUGUUGCCCGUAUCGACCCGGGCAGUGCCGUAGCCAACGCGUUAAGUGUCCCGCCUGGGGAGUACGCACGCAAGUGUGAAACUCAAAGGAAUUGACGGGGGCCCCGCACAAGCGGUGGAGUAUGUUGGUUUAAUUCGAUGCAACGC
rnacentral:rRNA from 1 species